rfam:Prevotella oralis ATCC 33269 genomic scaffold SCAFFOLD1, whole genome shotgun sequence.
UUAGGUGGUUAUUGCGGCGGUGUUCCACCUCUUCCCAUUCCGAACAGAGCAGUUAAGCCCGCCUGCGCCGAUGGUACUGCGCUGCAAUGCGGGAGAGUAGGUGGCUGCCUUUU